AAAUUUUUUUUUUUAUUUUAUAGAAAAAGAUUUUCUCUCUAAAAUGAAACCUAACUCAAAUUGUAGUACUGUAUCCUUAAUGGAAUAUAAAUCCAAGAAAGAAGGAAAAAAUAACUCCAGAAUAGACUAAUAGCAUCUUUGCCAUCAUUGGGUCCAGCGGAAACUCAGCCAUUCUACGUCCGAGUUUUGUUAGUUCUCCGCGAUGAUUGAGCGCCCCCAACGCAUAGAGUUGCUCCAAUGCCAAGAUCAAUGUUUCAGGUGGCGGGGGAUCCAAGAAAUCAAAAUGCAUCAGAUCAUCGAUCCCGAGAGCUUUCAGAUGCUUUCUUCAAGUUCAUGUUGGUAGGCCCAAGCUGUGUAGAGGCGGAAGCACUUGCCAGGCGCUACUCUACCAGCACGUCCCGCUCUCUAAAAUUUUAUUUUCCGUUCUCAUUGAAAUUUCAUGUAUAUAAUUGAAAAAAGAAGAAAAAAACCGUUGUAAACUUUUUUCAAGAGAAAUAUUACCUGACUCGCAGACGCUUUACUGAUCGGAACGAUUAUUAAGCUCUCCAUACCGGUGCGUGGAUUGAAAUUGUUUUGCUUUGCAUAGCCAGGAUCUAUCACAUACACUAUGUUGUCUAUGGUCAACGAAGUUUCUGCUAUAUUAGUUGCUAACACCACCUUAAAAAUAAAAGUUAAAAUUUUAUAUGUAUAUAAUUAAAAAAAAUAUUGUAUAGUUUCUCAAGAAAAAUAUAUUACCUUUCUCGCAC